UGACUAUACAUGCAAGUCGAGCGGACAGAUGGGAGCUUGCUCCCUGAUGUUAGCGGCGGACGGGUGAGUAACACGUGGGUAACCUGCCUGUAAGACUGGGAUAACUCCGGGAAACCGGGGCUAAUACCGGAUGCUUGUUUGAACCGCAUGGUUCAGACAUAAAAGGUGGCUUCGGCUACCACUUACAGAUGGACCCGCGGCGCAUUAGCUAGUUGGUGAGGUAACGGCUCACCAAGGCAACGAUGCGUAGCCGACCUGAGAGGGUGAUCGGCCACACUGGGACUGAGACACGGCCCAGACUCCUACGGGAGGCAGCAGUAGGGAAUCUUCCGCAAUGGACGAAAGUCUGACGGAGCAACGCCGCGUGAGUGAUGAAGGUUUUCGGAUCGUAAAGCUCUGUUGUUAGGGAAGAACAAGUGCCGUUCAAAUAGGGCGGCACCUUGACGGUACCUAACCAGAAAGCCACGGCUAACUACGUGCCAGCAGCCGCGGUAAUACGUAGGUGGCAAGCGUUGUCCGGAAUUAUUGGGCGUAAAGGGCUCGCAGGCGGUUUCUUAAGUCUGAUGUGAAAGCCCCCGGCUCAACCGGGGAGGGUCAUUG
rnacentral:rRNA from 2 species